rnacentral:lncRNA from 12 species
UAUUGAUAUGUGGGCUGUGCAUGUGACACCCAGCAAUCUGGCUUCAUGGACAACAUAUAUUCCCAGGACAUGCAGAGUAUGGCAGGGGGGAUCCCAAAGAAAGUCAAGUCGACACAGAUUUCAAGAGGCAAGAGGGAAUUCAGAGUUCAGUGUGAAGGAAAGAAGGAAAGAGACUGGUGCCAUUCUGCUGGGUGUGGUGACCCUAAACCCCGGGGGAGUAAUGACGUUGUUGGCAUGUUGAGAAUCACUGCCCUGGACUGGCAGCCUAUUCUGUUGAUGGGACAACUGAAGCAACUUUCAAAAGAUACAGUAAUGGAAGAUGGUGGAGCUACUGUUCAAGACCAAGACCACCUGAAUCCAAAGGCCAUGACCAUCACAUUCUCCUCUGCUGGGUCUGAGUAG